rnacentral:ncRNA from 3 species
CCGACCUUAGCUCAGUUGGUAGAGC